rnacentral:rRNA from 1 species
CACGUAGGGUGCGAGCGUUGUCCGGAAUUAUUGGGCGUAAAGGGCUCGUAGGCGGCCAACUAAGUCAGACGUGAAAUCCCUCAGCUUAACUGGGGAACUGCGUCUGAUACUGGAUGGCUUGGAUCCGGGAGAGGGAUGCGGAAUUCCAGGUGUAGCGGUGAAAUGCGUAGAUAUCUGGAGGAACACCGGUGGCGAAGGCGGCAUCCUGGACCGGUAUUGACGCUGAGGAGCGAAAGCCAGGGGAGCAAACGGG